AAAGAAAAUGUGUCUGUUUUCCCACUUCCUCUUUUUUUCUAACCACCCCGGUGACGUCAGAAGAGUGAGUUAUCUGACAGACGCGCGCUGUUUACAGUGGGGCAGAGGAGCUAAUAGCAGAACUGGUUGACAAGUCCACAAGUUUCCUCUUGCUAUUUUGGUUCGUGAAAUGGGAUGAAUCCGAUAAGAGUGAUAGCUGACGCGAACGGCGAGAAACACUCCUGGAUCAGUCGGAGAUGCAGCUCGAUGGCUGUGCACGUGUGUUUAUUAGACUUUGGGAGACAGAGAUGAUGACCCGGAGCUGAAGGCUUUCUCUCCACUGGCCUCUCGCUCAACUGUGCUUCACUUUGACUCACAGAGUAACCUCAACUAAGAAUAUAUGCAUCAGCCCUCACUGCGUGUCUGACGGUGGACUACUGGAGUUCAUCACAAGCUCGACGAGAAUGCAGAAGUGGCCACUACAUUUGCUCUUCUUUCUAGAUCCUUCUAGCGGGUUUCCAACGAUGAGGCUGUCGGCAUCUUUUUACACAGCAUUCACAAUUUAACACACAUUAAAGACAUAAUGGUGUGGCACCCACAUAAACGUUGGCCAACUUACUGAAAAAUAAUUUUAGGUUUACUUUUAAAUGGGUCAGAUGAUAUAUUUUCCUUUCAGUAUACUCACACUCACACAGAUACUUAUACAUAUAUAAAGAGUAAAAAUGCUGGGUAUUAACACUGCUUAUGAUUUUGUGCUAUAUAAAUAAAACUUGAACUUGAGUUGCAUUUAGAAUUUGAA